rnacentral:rRNA from 1 species
AUCAUGGCUCAGAUUGAACGCUGGCGGCAUGCCUUACACAUGCAAGUCGAACGGCAGCACGGGUGCUUGCACCUGGUGGCGAGUGGCGAACGGGUGAGUAAUACAUCGGAACAUGUCCUGUAGUGGGGGAUAGCCCGGCGAAAGCCGGAUUAAUACCGCAUACGAUCUACGGAUGAAAGCGGGGGACCUUCGGGCCUCGCGCUAUAGGGUUGGCCGAUGGCUGAUUAGCUAGUUGGUGGGGUAAAGGCCUACCAAGGCGACGAUCAGUAGCUGGUCUGAGAGGACGACCAGCCACACUGGGACUGAGACACGGCCCAGACUCCUACGGGAGGCAGCAGUGGGGAAUUUUGGACAAUGGGCGAAAGCCUGAUCCAGCAAUGCCGCGUGUGUGAAGAAGGCCUUCGGGUUGUAAAGCACUUUUGUCCGGAAAGAAAUCCUUGGCUCUAAUACAGUCGGGGGAUGACGGUACCGGAAGAAUAAGCACCGGCUAACUACGUGCCAGCAGCCGCGGUAAUACGUAGGGUGCAAGCGUUAAUCGGAAUUACUGGGCGUAAAGCGUGCGCAGGCGGUUUGCUAAGACCGAUGUGAAAUCCCCGGGCUCAACCUGGGAACUGCAUUGGUGACUGGCAGGCUAGAGUAUGGGCGAGGGGGGUAGAAUUCCACGUGUAGCAGUGAAAUGCGUAGAGAUGUGGAGGAAUACCGAUGGCGAAGGCAGCCCCCUGGGCCAAUACUGACGCUCAUGCACGAAAGCGUGGGGAGCAAACAGGAUUAGAUACCCUGGUAGUCCACGCCCUAAACGAUGUCAACUAGUUGUUGGGGAUUCAUUUCCUUAGUAACGUAGCUAACGCGUGAAGUUGACCGCCUGGGGAGUACGGUCGCAAGAUUAAAACUCAAAGGAAUUGACGGGGACCCGCACAAGCGGUGGAUGAUGUGGAUUAAUUCGAUGCAACGCGAAAAACCUUACCUACCCUUGACAUGGUCGGAAUCCUGCUGAGAGGCGGGAGUGCUCGAAAGAGAACCGGCGCACAGGUGCUGCAUGGCUGUCGUCAGCUCGUGUCGUGAGAUGUUGGGUUAAGUCCCGCAACGAGCGCAACCCUUGUCCUUAGUUGCUACGCAAGAGCACUCUAAGGAGACUGCCGGUGACAAACCGGAGGAAGGUGGGGAUGACGUCAAGUCCUCAUGGCCCUUAUGGGUAGGGCUUCACACGUCAUACAAUGGUCGGAACAGAGGGUUGCCAACCCGCGAGGGGGAGCUAAUCCCAGAAAACCGAUCGUAGUCCGGAUUGCACUCUGCAACUCGAGUGCAUGAAGCUGGAAUCGCUUGUAAUCGCGGAUCAGCAUGCCGCGGUGAAUACGUCCCCGGGUCUUGUACACACGGCCCGU